AGAGGGUGAGAGCCCCGUCGU
rnacentral:snRNA from 1 species